CCGCCUCCGGGUCGCACUCACCAGGGCGCGGUUGAACCUCUCCUCCAGCUCUCCGGCCGCGGGCAUCGGCUGCUUGGGAGGCGCGGGCUGCUUGGGGGGCGGCGCGGCGGGGCCCGCGGGCUGCUCGGCGCUGCCGGCCGCGUUGCCCAUGGUGGUCCCCACCCAGCCGGCCAGGCGCCUCCAGCCUCGGAAAUCCAGCUUUCCGGGGGACGGGGACGAGGCUCCCGGCCCGGGCGGGGGCGAGGGGGCAGCGGCUGGCGGUGGCGGCGGGGGUCUCGGCAGCGGGGGGCGCUCGGCUCAGCGGCGCGCAGGGGCCGGAGCGCGGCGUCCCAUCGGGGCGGCCCCGUCCGUGGGACCGGGCGGCGAGCUGCAGGGUUGGGGGAGGAAGUCAGGCUGCAGGCCGCCGGGGCCAGAGGGCUGGGCCGGGGGCAGGAAGCUGCGGCGCUGGCUCCCCCCUCGGCGAUUUUCGAACUUCUGCUGUCGCUCCCCGUGCGCGCAAACCGCAGUUCGCCGCCGCCGCCGCCGGGCACCCAGCCCCAGGGGGGCGGGCUGGAGGGAGGGGGCGGGCGCUGGCCGGGGGACCCCCGCAACCAUGGCGGGCGGGGAGUGGGCUGCCGAGCCGCUUCACCUGCCGCAGAGGGGGCGGCCGGCGCCGCUUCACCUGCCGGAGCGGGAGGCCACCGAGGCGAGGCCGAGGCGGCGGCGCGCUCGGCGGCGCCUCCGGGUCCUAGAACCGCAUCCUCCCGCUCGCCUCGGGCGAGGGAUUGGCCGGGUCUGGGUGAAGGGGAUCACGGCCUGGGGAUUGGAGGGGCACAUCUUCUCCGCACCGAGGAUCUCAGCGACUGCGAGCACGGCUCGGAGACCCACGGUGGUGCAGCGUUGGGGCGCCAGGGCUGCGUUCCCGUCUCGCGUCCCGGACUGAGAAGAGCCACUGACAAGACUUUAAGCAAGAGACGGAGAGUUAACAUCUAAUCUGGAGGAAGACCCUGGAAGGAGCCAGCCCCUUCCCCCAGGCUGACCUGGUUUAAGCCUUUCUUCUGCCAAGGUCACCAGCACCCCAGAUGGGUGAGAGAUGUGAUCACUGGUUUCGUGGCCUGACCAAGGACCUCCAAGGAGGUAUCUUUCCCAUCUUGGCCCACAGAGGAGGAAAUCCUAGAAGGGAUGACUGAAGCUUGGGACUAACACAUUGGUGGAUCUGUGCUACCCCCUGCUGGCCGUAGACGGUAUGACAGCCAAGAUAGGGCAAGGCUUCGAGGGGCGAUGGAUGGAUUCACCGCAGCGGCGACAUUUCUGGACUGUUGUCACCUUCAGUGCAGUCACUGGGAAUAUUCAGAACCCAGACAGAGUCUCACUCUGUUGCCCAGGCGGCUGGAGUGCAGUGGUGUGAUCUCAGCUCACUGCGACCUCCGCUUCCCAGAUUCAAGCAAUUCUCCUGCCUCAGCCUCCUGAGUAGCUGGGACUACAGGUGUGUGCCACCACGUUCAGCUAAUUUUUGUAUUUUUAGUAGAGACGGGGUUUCACCAUGUUGGCCAGGCUGGUCUUGAACUCCUGACCUCAAGUGAUCCACCCGCCUUGGCCUCCCAAAGUGCUGGGAUUACAGGUGUGAGCCACCGCGCCUGGCCUCUUAACAGUUCUAAUGUAUCUUUGCAGAGCUAUUUGGAGCAUAUGCUGUGUAUAUGUGCGUGUGUGUGUGACACAAAUGAUAGCACACGCUCUACACUGUUCAGCACCUGCUAUUUUCAUGUCAUAAUAUACCUGCCUGUAGAUAGUCAACAUAGUUUUCCAUCGUAUGGUGUGUCACAAUUUAUUUACCAUUCCCCUCCUAGUGGAUAUUUAUGUAUGUCCGCCUUUUAUUACUACAAACAAUGCUAAUUACAGGAAAUAUCUUGGUACAUAUAUUUGCAGACAUAUGUGUGUGUGUGAAAUAAAUUUAUAAGUAUGG
rnacentral:lncRNA from 1 species